GUUUUCUUCUUUUUGGAGACAUUCUACAAGACUGAAACAACACCCGGCAGAUUAGCAUGGCCUCUGCCCAAGGAUGACAUGUUCUGUUGGGUUACAGAAAGUAUAUGA